rnacentral:rRNA from 1 species
UGAAAGCGUGAUUCCCUUCGGGGCGGACUGCAAGGUGCUGCAUGGUUGUCGUCAGCUCGUGCCGUGAGGUGUCGGGUUAAGUCCCGUAACGAGCGCAACCCUUAUCGUUAGUUGCCAGCGGGUAAAGCCGGGGACUCUAACGAAACUGCCGGUGUAAACCGAGAGGAAGGUGGGGAUGACGUCAAAUCAGCACGGCCCUUAUGUCCAGGGCUACACACGUGUUACAAUGGCCGGUACAGAGGGCAGCUACCUGGUGACAGGAUGCAAAUCUCGAAAGCCGGUCCUAGUUCGGAUUGAAGUCUGCAAUUCGACUUCAUGAAGCUGGAUUCGCUAGUAAUCGCGCAUCAGCCACGGCGCGGUGAAUACGUUCCCGGGCCUUGUACACACCGCCCGUCAAGCCAUGGAAGCCGGGGGUACCUGAAGUCUGCAACCGCAAGGAGCGGCCUAGGGUAAAACUGGUGACUGGGGCUAAGUCGUAACAAGGUAGCCGUACCGGAAGG